rnacentral:rRNA from 1 species
CGUAGGGGGCAAGCGUUGUCCGGAUUUACUGGGCGUAAAGCGCGUGUAGGCGGCCACGCAGGUCCGUUGUGAAAACUGGAGGCUUAACCUUCAGACGUCGACGGAAACCGUGUGGCUAGAGUCCGGAAGAGGAGAGUGGAAUUCCUGGUGUAGCGGUGAAAUGCGCAGAUAUCAGGAAGAACACCAAUGGCGAAGGCAGCUCUCUGGGACGGUACUGACGCUGAGACGCGAAAGCGUGGGGAGCGAACAGGAUUAGAUACCCUGGUAGUCCACGCCGUAAACGAUGGGUGCUAGGUGUGGGAGGUGUCGACUCCUUCCGUGCCGUAGCUAACGCAUUAAGCACCCCGCCUGGGGAGUACGGCCGCAAGGCUA